rnacentral:misc_RNA from 1 species
AAAAAAAGGAACCGCCUUUUUCCUCGUCUUCCCAACAACGAACACCAAACACAUACCAAAAUCGUAUCUAAAAAACGAGAAAUUUGUCGCCCCAAUAAUUGUUAAUACCACCACGCUCCAAGCACAAGAUUCUCGUGACAAUACAAUUCCGGCGACCCGCCUAAACCCCACCAAGAUCCGAGAGUCCACGCCGGGAGAAGGCAGAAAGUUCAGUGAGGAGGCAAAUGGGGAGGGGAAGGCUGAGCUCACCUCCAAUGACGUGCACGCCGCCGAGGACGACUACGCCGGCGCACAGGAACGCGAAGAGCGCAGCGAAGACACGCCGCUGCGGCGCCGCCGCCACCGACCGGUGGGCCCUGGCAGCAGGCGAACCGCCGCCGCCGCCGCUGCCACUUCCAGCCGCCGCACCGCCCUUACAACUCCCGAGCCUGCUCAGCUUCCUCUCCUUCGCCGAUAUCGCCAUCGCCGGCGCCAGUCACAACCGCCGCUGCCGCUCCGGCAGCAGCCCAGAUCCCAAAGCGGCGGCAGCGAGCCUCACAGGCCCACAGCAUCCGCAACGCGCUACGGGGAGUCAGGGAGCAUCGGCGCCCCGCCAAUAUCUCGACGGUUAGUUGGUUGCCGUGGACGAGGGAGAGAGAAGGCGAAGCGGCGGCGGGGGCCGGCGAAUCCGGAGCGGUCAGUUGCGUUCGCAAGGAAGGAAGCUUGCUUUGCCGACUCCUGCUGCUGCAGCAGUGCCUGGUGGGCAACCGGCGCGUUUAUACCUGCGCCCACGCCUCUGACCGGUGGGGCCUGCGCGUUCCUCCUGAUCCCACACGUCGGUGGCGUGAGGCACGCCGCGAAGCGCGGUCCUGCGACGCGUGGCUGGGAAUGACGUGUGGGCCCGUUGAGACGUGUGGGGUCGCUUCUAACGGCACGGACACGUCGGGCCAAUGGGGCGGCGGCUUCGCUGGGUGUGGUUAUUUCAUAUGGACGUGCUGUAUGACAGUGGGGUCAGAAAGCAUGGGUCCACUAUGCCAGUUACCGAGGUUGGGGGUAGGCGUUGGUGUCUGGUGAUUUGGAUGCAACGGCAAUAAUUGAUGCGCACAUGGGGGGGAAAGGUAUUAUUCUGCAAUUCUGCCUGUCCCUUGAUGGAAUUUUAUCUUCUACUCCUGAAUAUAACUAGUCAUACUUCUCACAUAUAACACAG